CUGAUCCGACACACCAAUAGUCCGACAAUACAAUUAAUCCCGACCAAUAGUAGUAAGCUGAUACACAGAAACUUACUAAUUUGUGAACCUAGUGUUAGACCAGUUUUUAGAGAGCAAUCAGGGACACAUCGAUAGUACUAUUAUGUAAAUGUUUAUCUUUACGAGGAACAACAUAAGAUAACUUGCAUACCGAAACUGUGAGCACACACUUUCCACAUCAAUGAACUUGUCAAUUAACCCGCUAUCCGAACGGAUUUGCUUACCCCUCACCCCUCCAUUGCGGGAGAUGCAAAC
rnacentral:lncRNA from 1 species